UGGGGAAUAUUGCACAAUGGGCGAAAGCCUGAUGCAGCCAUACCGCGUGUGUGAAGAAGGCCCUCGGGUUGUAAAGCACUUUCGUCAGGGAAGAAAGGUGCGGGGUGAAUACCCCCGUACUGUGACGGUACCUGAAUAAGAAGCACCGGCUAACUCCGUGCCAGCAGCCGCGGUAAUACGGAGGGUGCAAGCGUUAAUCGGAAUUACUGGGCGUAAAGCGCGCGUAGGCGGUCUGGUCAGUCAGAUGUGAAAGCCCCGGGCUCAACCUGGGAACUGCAUUUGAUACUGCCAGACUAGAGUGUAGUAGAGGGAAGCGGAAUUCCGAGUGUAGCGGUGAAAUGCGUAGAUAUUCGGAGGAACAUCAGUGGCGAAGGCGGCUUCCUGGACUAACACUGACGCUGAGGUGCGAAAGCGUGGGGAGCAAACAGG
rnacentral:rRNA from 1 species